rnacentral:rRNA from 1 species
UACGGAGGGGGCGAGCGUUGUUCGGAAUUACUGGGCGUAAAGCGCACGUAGGCGGCUUUGUAAGGUAGAGGUGAAAGCCCAGGGCUUAACCCUGGAAUUGCCUUUAAGACUGCAUCGCUAGAAUUGUGGAGAGGUAAGUGGAAUUCCGAGUGUAGAGGUGAAAUUCGUAGAUAUUCGGAAGAACACCAGUGGCGAAGGCGGCUCACUGGCUCAUACUGGACGCUGAGGUGCGAAAGCGUGGGGAGCAAACAGG